rfam:Campylobacter ureolyticus ACS-301-V-Sch3b genomic scaffold acmbC-supercont1.1, whole genome shotgun sequence.
AGGUAAGCUACUAAGAGCGAAUGGUGGAUGCCUUGGUUGGUAGAGGCGAUGAAAGACGUGCUAGACUGCGAUAAGUCUCGGGGAGUUGUCAAGGAACUUUGAUCCGGGAAUUUCUGAAUGGGGAAACCCAGUAUAUAGUGAUAUAUACUACCUAUAUGGAGCAAACGUGGGGAAUUGAAACAUCUUAGUACCCACAGGAAAAGAAAUCAAAUGAGAUUACGAAAGUAGCGGCGAGCGAAAUCGUAAAAGGGCAAACCACUAGUUUACUAGUGGGGUUGUAGGACUGUAACAUAGACUAAAAAGAGUUAAUAGAAUAAUCUGGAAAGUUUAAGCAUAGAGGGUGAUACUCCCGUAUAUGAAAACUCUUUUUUACUUAACAGUAUCCUGAGUAAGGCGAGGCACGUGAAACCUUGUCUGAAUCUGGGAAGACCACUUUCCAACCCUAAAUACUACUACCAAACCGAUAGUGAACAAGUACCGUGAGGGAAAGGUGAAAAGAACGGGGGUGACCCGAGUGAAAUAGAACCUGAAACCAUUUGCUUACAAUCAUUCAGAGCACGAUUCUUUAUGACGUGUGAUGGACUGCCUUUUGCAUAAUGAGCCUGCGAGUUGUGAUAUCUGGCAAGGUUAAGGAAAUCCGGAGCCGUAGCGAAAGCAAGUCUUAAUAGGGCGUUUAGUCAGAUAUUGCAGACCCGAAACGAAGUGAUCUAUCCAUGAGCAGGUUGAAACCGGUGUAAGAGCCGGCGGAGGACCGAACCCGCUGACGUUGAAAAGUCUUGGGAUGACUUGUGGAUAGGGGUGAAAGGCCAAUCAAACUUCGUGAUAGCUGGUUCUCUCCGAAAUAUAUUUAGGUAUAGCGUUAUGUAGUAAUUAGAGGGGGUAGAGCACUGAAUGGGCUAGGGCAUACACCAAUGUACCAAACCCUAUCAAACUCCGAAUACCUUUAAUGUAAUCAUAGCAGUCAGGCGGCGAGUGAUAAAAUCCGUCGUCAAGAGGGGAACAACCCAGACUACCGACUAAGGUCCCAAAAUCUUAUUUAAGUGGAAAACGAUGUGAAGUUACUUAAACAACCAGGAGGUUGGCUUAGAAGCAGCCAUCCUUUAAAGAUAGCGUAAUAGCUCACUGGUCUAGUGAUUUUGCGCGGAAAAUAUAACGGGGCUAAAAUAAGUACCGAAGUCGUAGACUUAGUUUUACUAAGUGGUAGGAGAGCGUUGUAUUUAGCGUUGAAGAUGUACCGGUAAGGAGCGUUGGAGCAAAUACAAGUGAGCAUGCAGGCAUGAGUAGCGUUAAAUCAGGUGAGAAUCCUGAUCGCCGAAAACCCAAGGUUUCCUACGCGAUGCUCGUCAUCGUAGGGUUAGUCGGGUCCUAAGCAAAGUCCGAAAGGGGUAUGCGAUGGAAAAUUGGUUAAUAUUCCAAUACCAAUUAUUAUGUGCGAUGGAAGGACGCUUAAAGUUAGUGGAGCUAACUGAUGGAAUAGUUAGUCUAAGGACGUAGGUUGAGUUAUAGGCAAAUCCGUAACUCUUUAUCCAAAAUCUUAAAGGCUUACAAAACUCUUCGGAGUAGCGUAAGAAUCCAUGAUACUAUCGAGCCAAGAAAAGUUUCUAAGUUUAGUAAUAAUUGCCCGUACCGUAAACCGACACAGGUGGGUGGGAUGAGUAUUCUAAGGCGCGUGGAAGAACUCUCUUUAAGGAACUCUGCAAAAUAGCACCGUAUCUUCGGUAUAAGGUGUGCCUACCAGGGUGCAAGCCCUAGAGGUUACAACAAAGAGUCCCUCCCGACUGUUUACCAAAAACACAGCACUCUGCUAACACGUAAGUGGAUGUAUAGGGUGUGACGCCUGCCCGGUGCUCGAAGGUUAAUUGAUGGAGUUAGCAUUAGCAAAGCUCUUGAUCGAAGCCCGAGUAAACGGCGGCCGUAACUAUAACGGUCCUAAGGUAGCGAAAUUCCUUGUCGGUUAAAUACCGACCUGCAUGAAUGGCGUAACGAGAUGGGAGCUGUCUCAAAGAGGGAUCCAGUGAAAUUGUAGUGGAGGUGAAAAUUCCUCCUACCCGCGGCAAGACGGAAAGACCCCGUGGACCUUUACUAUAGCUUGACACUGCUACUUGGAUAAAGAUGUGCAGGAUAGGUGGGAGAUUAUGAUCUAUAGAUGCUAGUCUAUAAGGAGUCAUCCUUGAGAUACCACUCUUCUUUAUUCGGGUAGCUAACUAGCCUAAGUUAUCCUUAGGUAGGACAAUGUCUGGUGGGUAGUUUGACUGGGGCGGUCGCCUCCCAAAUAAUAACGGAGGCUUACAAAGGUUGGUUCAAAACGGUUGGAAAUCGUUUAUAGAGUAUAAAGGCAAAAACCAGCUUAACUGCGACACCGACAAGUGGAGCAGAGACGAAAGUCGGUCUUAGUGAUCCGGUGGUUCUGUGUGGAAGGGCCAUCGCUCAAAGGAUAAAAGGUACCCCGGGGAUAACAGGCUGAUCUCCCCCAAGAGCUCACAUCGACGGGGAGGUUUGGCACCUCGAUGUCGGCUCAUCGCAUCCUGGGGCUGGAGCAGGUCCCAAGGGUAUGGCUGUUCGCCAUUUAAAGCGGUACGCGAGCUGGGUUCAGAACGUCGUGAGACAGUUCGGUCCCUAUCUGCCGUGGGCGUAAGAAGAUUGAGGAGAGUUGACCCUAGUACGAGAGGACCGGGUUGAACCAACCACUGGUGUAUAAGUUGUCCUGCCAAGGGCACCGCUUAGUAGCUAAGUUGGGAUGUGAUAAGAGCUGAAAGCAUCUAAGCUCGAAGCCAACUCCAAGAUUAAUCUUCUUUUAAGAGCUCUUAUAGACUAUAAGUUUGAUAGGCUGGGUGUGUAAGUGAUGUAAGUCAUUUAGCUGACCAGUACUAAUAGCUCGUUUGCUUAUCUUA